rnacentral:lncRNA from 1 species
UGUGAUUUGUCUCACUUCAAUGUUUAUUAUAAACAGAAAGAACAAAGUUAAUUUGAAUUUCAUGCUAAUAAAACUAUUCUCAAACCUCAUUACUCCUUUCAUAGGAGACACCUUCAAGAACAUCCAAUCACUUCAAACUCCAAUUCUCUCUGCCUCAAUCAAAAUAAUACAAUUAAAUCUAAUCUUUACACACAAAAAUUUUCUCAAAGUCGUCCGACACUCAUCUAUCACCUGUAAACAAUAACAAAAUAAUACGAUAAUAGAGAUAUCAAAAUAAUACAACAAAACCUAUUAAUACAACAAAACCUAACCUUUACAUAAAAAAAUUUCUCAAAACCGACUAACAUUUAUCUAUCACCUGUAAAUUGCAACAAAAUAAUACGAUAAAACUGAUAUCAAAACAAUAUAGUUAAACUUAAAUUUUACACAAAUUUUUCAAAGCCAAUCGAGAUUCAUCUACGAACUGUAAACUACCUCAAAAUAACAAGCUAAUAGAGAUAUUACGAUAAUACAAUUAAAUCUAACCUUUAUCUAAAAUUUUUUUUCAAAGCCGACCCACAUUCAUCUAGCAUCUGUAAAUUAACAUAAAACAAUAAGAUAAUAAAUAUAUCAAAAUAAUACAAUUAAACCUAACCUUUACACAAGAAAUACAAUUAAACCUAGCCUUUACACAAGAAAUUCUUCAAAGCCAACUCGAAAUUCAUCUACAACCUGUAAACUAUAAAAAAAAUAUAAUGGUGAUUCGAUUUUGAUCCAACUAAUUCUUGUCUGGUUGAAAGUUUUGACCCUUAUUGAUUUUGAAUGAAAACAAAGAAGAUAUAUAUAUAUAUAUAUACACACACACAUAUUGAAUUCUAUUAUGCUGACAAAAACAAUGAAGAAGUUGAGGGUUGGAAAAUCAAGCAUCCAUCAAUAUAGACAUGCAAUCGAAUCAAGUUAGAUGAGCAUCAAUCAUAUGCUCCCAAUAGGCAAACUAGUUUUUUCUCUAGUUUCGUGCAUCUCAAUAUUUAUAGAAGUAUUUCCUUAAUAGAGUCAUAUUUUAGGAGUAUUUUUCUAAUUGAACAGUAGAAAUGAAAAUAUUAAUUUAUUCUCCUACCAUAUAUUUUAGGAGUUUCAUAUAUGUUAGGAAGUUUAGUAGAAAGAAAAAUAUUACUGAAUUCUCCUACCAUAUAUUUUAGGAAAUCUUGUUAAUAUAAUAAAAGAUAAUUUAAUAAUAAAUUUAAAAAAUAGUGAAAAAACAGUUUUGUCUAAAGAGAAGAGUCUUUUAAUGAAGGAUAAAAAGUUCAAAUCACUUUUCUAAGGGACUUCACACUUUUAAUAUAUUAUAAAUAUACAUGACUCCAUAUUUGCCGAAUCAGUCAUGUUAUGAUCUUCUAUAUCCUGAAUCUUCCCGUUUCGUCAUCUAGCUUAUGUUCUUCAUGUAGCAUUCAAACCGAAUGACUAAUGAAAUUAGGUCAAUACUUCCGGUGAGAAAUAAUAGAGAAAAAUAUCAUUUGAAUUGUUGUCUAUAUAAUUACAUUGACACUCUAUUUAUAGGCACUACAAUACAAUCCUUUUCCAAGUAGGAUUUUGUAUAUUAUUCCUAUUCCUACUCAUAUUCUAACACUCUCCCUCAAGCUGGUGACGAUAUCUGCAAGUUGAUCACUUGACUUCACAAAAUUUGUAACAAUAUCUCCCGAGAGUAUCUUUUCUCUGACAAAGUGACAAUCAAUCUUUACGUGCUUGGUUCUCUCAUGUAACACUGGAUUAGAUGCAAUAUGAAGGGCUGCUGAUUAUUACAUACAAGUUCCAUCUUAUCGGUUUCUCCAAAUUUUAGUUCUCUCAACAAUUGUUUGAUCCAAACCAGCUCACAAGUUGCUUCAGCCAUUGCUCGAUAUUCUGCUUCGGCGCUAGAUCGAGCAACCACACUCUGUUUCUUACUCUUCCAGGACACCAAAUUACCACCUACUAAAACAUAAUAUUUGGAUGUAGAACGUCUAUCAGAGAGUCAUCCUGCCCAAUCAACAUUGGUAUAUCCAAUGAUAUGCUCGUGGCCUUGAUCCUCAAAGAGUAGUCCUUUACUGGAGAUGACUUUAUACAUAGCAAAAUACGAACAACUGCAUCCCAAUGACUAUCACAGGGGGAAGUUAUAAACUGACUUACAACACUCAUGGGAAAAGAGAUGUCUAGUCUAGUCACUGUGAGAUAAUUCAACUUUCCAAUCAACCGCCUAUACCUUCCAUACCUUUUAGGAUCACUAAGUAACCCCACCUGUCCGGGCAGAAGUUUAGCAUUUGGAUCCAUAGGAGCGUUAAUGGGUUGACAUCCCAUCAUUGCUGUCUCCUAAAAAAUGUCUAAAGCAUACUUUUGUUAAGAAAUAACAAUACCUGAUCUGGAUUGUGCAACCUCAAUACCUAGAAAGUAUUUCAGUCUGGCGAGGUCUUUAGUUUGAAAAUGUUGAAAGAGAUGUUGCUUCAAGUUAGUGAUACCAUCUUGAUCAUUGCCGGUGAUAACAAUGUCAACAUAAACCACCAGAUAAAGACACUAAUUUGGUUCAAAAUGAUUAGCUCCACUAUGAAUAUGCCAAACUCCUGAAUCACUGUGCUAAAUUUUUCGAACCAGGCUUGAGGGAACUAUUUCAAACCAUAGAGUGAUAGGCGCAAUUGACAUACAAAGCUACUAAACUUUCCCUGAGCAACAAAAUCAGGUGGUAGCUCCAUAUAGACUUCUUCCUUAAGAUCACCAUGCAGAAAAUCAUUCUUAAUGUCCAACUGAUAAAGAGGCCAAUGACGAACGACAGCCAUAGAGAGAAAAAAACGGACAAAUGCUAUUUUAGCGACGGGAGAGAAAGUGUCACUAUAAUCAAGCCCAAAUAUCUGUGUAUAUCCUUUGGCAACAAGGCAAGCCUUCAGCUGAUCAACCUGACCAUCUGGACCAACUUUGACCGUAUAAACCCAAUGACAACCAACCAUAGAGUUACCUGCAGGAAGGAAAACAAGCUCCCAAGUACUACUUGUAUGUAAAGCAGACAUUUCAUCAAUCAUAGCCUAUUUCUAUUCUGAAUGGGAAAGUGCUGCACCUGUAGUCUUAUGAAUGGAAAUAGAAGACAAAGAUGAUACAAAAGCAUAAUGAGGUGAUGACAGACGAUGAUAACUCAAGAAAGUAUAAUGUGGGUUAGCAUUAAGAGUGGAUCUUAUACUUUUUUGACGUGCAACUGAUUGGCUAGGAGUAGGCAGGUCCGCGGUAGGGGAAGCGUCAGGCGCAUGACAUGAAUUAUUUAGAUCUGAGACUAAUGCUGGAUGCGGUGAUAAGUCAAAAGUGGUGGCACUACAGCUGGAGAUGGAGAAGUAAUCGUAGAUUCCUUAAAGAUUGGUGUGGGUAAGAUUGGAGGCAUGAGUAAAACUUCAGAGAUAUCAAAAUGAUCAAAAGAUGUAUAGUAAGGUUGAGUUUCAAGGAAUGUGACAUCGACGGACAUAAGGUAGCGACCCGGAUUAGGUGAAUAGCAUCGAUACCCUUUUUGAACUCGAGAGUAACCAAGGAAGACACAUUUGAGAGCACGAGAGGCUAAUUUAUCUUUUCCUGGGGCUAAGUAAUGAACAAAACAUGUGCUCCCAAAAACACGAGCGGGAUAAAGUAGAGAUAUGACUGAGGAAAUAGUAUGGAAUGCGGAAUCUGAUUUUGGAUUGAAGAUAUGGCAUUCUGUUAAUGAGAUAGCAAGUUGGGAUUCAAGAGAAGAGUGCGAGCAGUCUCAAUGAGAUGCCUAUUUUUCCUUUUUGCUAUACCGUUUUGCUAAGGGGUAUAUGGGCAUGAUGUUUGGUGAAUGAUUCUUUGAUGAGUCAAAAACUCCUGAAACUGGGAGGAUAAUUAUUCUAAGGAUAAAAUUGGUUUUGUAUUUUAUCACAAAAACUUUUGAAUAUAGAAAAUAACUCGGAACGAUCUUUCAUCAAGUAAACCCAAGUACAUCUCGAGAAAUCAUCAAUGAAACUAACAAAGUAACAAAAUCCUAUGGGUGAACUGACUCUACUAGGACCCCAAAUAUCAGAAUGAACCUAUGAGAAAAUAGACUUUGAACGACUCUCAAUACUACGUGAAAAUGUAGCACGGGUGUGUUUCCCAAGUUGACACGACACAAUCUAAUAUGGAUAAUCUAGACAAACUAGGCACCAUCUUUUGUAGUUUGGAUAGACUCGAAUGUCCGAAAUGUUUAUGAAUAAGGUUAGGAGGGUCUGUCAUUGAGCAUCUUGUGAAGGAAUUUGAAGAGGUAAAAUAGUAACAACGUUGUGAUUCAUGUCCUAUGCCAAUCGUCUGUCGCGUUUUGUUGUCUUGCAUUAGAAAAGAGUCAUAAAAAAAAGUUAUACUACAAUGAAGGGCACGUGUCAAACGACUAACUGAUGCAAGAUUAACAGGACAACCAGAGACAUAAAGAACAGAGUCUAGGGUGACAGAAGAUAGGGGUUUGACUUGUCCAACUCCUUUUGGCUUUGUUCGGAUAUUGUGAAUAAACAAUAUCAGACAGAAGUGAUUUGCCACCAGAAAUAUGAUCAGAAGCACUUGAGUCCACACCCCAUGAUCCAAAGGUAGGAGAUUGUGCAAUUGAGGCUAUUGGUAGAGAUAUAUGCUUACUUGCUCGAUACUGAAGAUACUCAUUAUAUUUCUUUUUAGAUAAAUACACCCAUUGAUCACUUGUGGUGUUAGACUGAGCAACAUGAGCAUUUUUAGGUAGUGGACCAUGCAAAGAAUAACAUAUUUCACGAGUAUGUUCAAGCCUAUAAUGUUGGAGUCCCACAUCGGUGGGUUAAAGAGUCCUUGGUCUCCUUAUAUGGUCUUGGGCAAUUCUCUCCUUAUGAGCUAGCUUUUGAGGUUGAGUUAGACCCAAGGUUCAUUUAUUUAUCAUGGGAUCAGAGCUAGGUUCACCCAAUUCAUUUGUUUUCGAUGUUGAGCCCCCCGUCUUAUAUUGUCCACGCUUCAGAUGUCUAGCCCUUGGCGUGCGGGGUGUGUGUGUGUUGGAGUCCCACAUCGGUGGGUUAAAGGGUCCUUGGUCUCCUUAUAUGGUCUUGGGCAAUCCUCCCCUCAUGAGCUGGCUUUUGAGGUUGAGUUAGACCCAAGGUUCAUUUCAUUUCUUUAUCAUAUAACAAUAACUACACUUAGGUCGAGAAUAACAUACGCCACAAGUAUGUCCAAGCCUUUUACAAUAAUUACACCCAGGAUGAGAUCUUCUAAAUCGACCUUCCCGUUGUCGAUUCUUCAUGGACUGUGACGUUUAAUUUUUUGAUCUCCUCAUUAAGGGCUCAGAUUUAAUCGUAGGACACCAAGUAAAAGAUUAGAAAAUAUGUUGUCGGAAUCUGGAAAAACAGUGUCCAGUCACCGGAAAAAAAUCUAAAGUUGCCGGAAUUAGGGUUUCGGCAAUUGAAAUCUGAGAAACUAGGCUGAAACUGAAAAACAAAAGCUGGUUGGAGGUUGGAGUAACUGGACGACCCUAACAGAAAAAAAAAGCCGAAAAAGUCAACUGGAGAAUGGCUAAUGCGCCGGCGGAUGACAGAUAUAGUCGGAACUUCGGCAGGCACGUGCGGGCGCGUCGCUGGGACUUUCUGGUGGUUUUGGUCGGGUUUUUGUCGCUUAAGCUUUUCGAUCCUCUGGGUGGUGUUGUAUUUUGCACCAAACCCACAAAAUAGAUGACUCAAAACAGUCGCUGAAAAUUGACACACGAUGAAUGAUAUUUUCUUUUUUUAUUUUUCUGAAAUUUUCUUACCAAUGCUCUGAUACCAUGUGAGAAAUAAUAGAGAAAAAUAUUAUUUGAAUUAUUAUCUACAUAAUUACAUUGAUACCCUAUUUAUAGGCACUGCAAUACAAUCCUUUUUCAAGUAAGAUUUUGUAUACUAUUCUUAUUCCUACUCAUAUUCUAACACUCACAUAUUAUGGGUAAGGUAGGAGACAUCUUUAUUGUUCCCACAGAGAAUCUCGUAAGUUCCCACUGCUUAGUUAGCUUCUAAUUUGCAUUUGAUCAUCAAAUGGAAUGGGAAUAACCCGCCCUACUCUCUUUGAAACUAUGAUGCUCGGACUCUUCAAAAAUAUUGAGGAAUACGUGUUAAAUCCUCCCAAAAUAGUGUAUUUUUUAAGGAUCCGACGCAGAUAAGGUAACAUUUUUGGAGAUACCUUUAUCAUGGUAUCAGAGCCUGGCCCAACCCAAUGCAUUGUUUCACCCCGAUGUUGGACUCUCAUCUUAUAUUGUCCAUGCUUCAGAUGUCUAGUCUUAUUAGACGUGCGAGGGAGUGUCGAGCUCCAUAUUUUUGGAUGUUAGGGUCCUUGCUCUUCGUUAAUGAUGCAAAAUUAAUAGAAUUAUUUUUUGUAUUAUUUUUUAUAUUAGAAUAAAACUUCCCAAAGUUUGUUAAGAUUCUAUUUGUUAGGACUCUUUUUCUAUUUCUAGUUUGUUACAACUCCUGUUAAAUCAAUUAUAUAAGACUUUUCUAUUUCUAGUUUGGUAGGACUCCUCUUAAAUCAAUUACAUAAGACUUUCCUAUUUCUAGUUUGGUAGGACUCUUGCUACUCUAAAUCUCUAUUUAAGAGAGUUGACAUUAUUAAUAAAACAAGUUGGAUUUUAUCAAGUCACAGAGGGUUGGAACUUUCUCAAACAAGUUUCCAGGUCUACAACAAUUCCCUGAAUGAAAUGCAAAAUUCAGCAAUCAUAGGUAGGUCAAGGAACAAGAACAAUGGCUUUAAUUGGAACGUUGCUCUUGACUUUCAAGUUAAUUGUCCAGCGACUCGAUCCAGAACUAGGGACCAUAACAAUUUGGUAUCAGAGCUUGUCACCAUGGAAGAAAAUACUGUAGAAGCAAAGUUGUUAAAUUUUCUAUAGGAAGCUCAAACUCAAACUGAAGCGAAAGUAGCAGCUUCAGAAGCAAGGAUGAAUGCCAAAUUCUAGUAGUUAUCACAACAAAUUGAAACCUUGAUCCACAUCACGAAACGUGCAAAAGGAGUCAAAGUUUGAGACAAUAGCAUUGCUUCUAUCCAACGAACUUGCAUUGAACUAGUAAUGCAGGUGAACAACUAGAUGUGUAUCUAGAAAUGAUACGAUUCUAAUUCGGAAACCAGAAUCAAAAUGCAGAAAAUUGAAAUAAAAAAAAGGAUAUGUGGAAUAUCGAAAUAGAGCAACAGGGGACUCUAUACCUUUGUCUCUCAAUUGAAUUCGAAGGAACAACAUAGUCCCUCAAUCAAACACAAGAGAAACCAAUUGAAUCCACAAAUGGAUGACUCUAUAUGAUUAAUCAAGUAAAGAAGUUAAAAGAACAAUUGAGAAAAUCCACCCUAGCAGCUCUACCUAGAUUAACUAUCUAAUUGGAACCCACCCACUAAGCUAAGCUACGAUAAUUGGGAAUUCAACCAAAGCUAUAAUCUAAGAAAUCAAGUCUUUCAAGACAAAUUCACAAGUCAACAUAAUCUAAGGAAAUAAAUGGCUAAGACACCUAUUUGUAGUUAUUGCCUUUGCAAAAAUAACCUAUUACAAGGAUAGCCCAAAAGUGGCUAUUUGAAAGUAAUCCUCAAGUGCCCUUCUUUGCUCACCCAAGUGUCUUACCAUAGCUCAAGUUGCUCUUUCCAUCACCAAAGGUUCUUGUGUGCACUUGGUAUCACCCAUUGUGCUCUUGAUUGCCCAAGGCUCUUGUGCUUAGCUUGUUCCGGGCUCCAAGCUGUCAUCCAUUUGUGGAAGUCCAUCCUUUUGUGCUCCAUAAGAUCCAUCCAAGCUAUCACCAUGGCUCGUGUAGCUUAGGGUAUAGGUCUAGCACGAAUUGGGCUAACUGUGUUCGUAUCAAGAAGGAAGUUUCAACAACAGUAACUGUGGUACUAAUGGCAACAAUGGAGAAAGAGAUAUCAUUCCCAGAUACACUAAAUUAGACUUUACUACUUAUGAUGUAAGUAAAGAUCCUCUUACUUGACUUCAUCAUCAUUGUGAGAAAUUCUUCUCAAACUAGCAUACAACCAACCAAGAAAAAGUAGGUUUAGCUGCUUUCACAUUGUAGGGGAGGCGCAAAACAAGAAGCAGUUUAACAUAGGGUGUCUUCAAAGAGUGUUGUACUCUUCCUUUUGGCCCACCAAUAAAAAGCAAUCCAUUGGGGGGACUGAUCAACUUGAAACAAGCUAGUUCUGUUGAAGAUUAUCAUGGGAACUUCCAAAAGAUGUUGGCUCAUGCAUCAUCUGUCGUAUAGUCCAACAAAUAGAUAUGUUUACAACUGGGUUAGUUGAAUUGAUUCGUCUCGAUGUUGAAUUGCACAACCCAUCUAACCUAGUACAAGCAAUGAAUCUGACAAGUGCAUUUGAGAAGAAGAUACAAAUUUCUUCUAGCACACAAAGGGGCUAUAGUUCAACCUCAAAUAUUAGUGCAAGGGCAGCCGCUACAACAAUACCUUCGACUGCUGCGGUAACUGCUUCUAAUCCUUUUGUGAAAAAGUUGACUAGCAGCGAGAUGGCUGCCUGACGUGAAAAGGGGUUGUGCUACAACUGUGAUGAUUCUUAUGUUCAAGGCCAUCAAUGCGAAAAAUUAUUUUAGCUAGAAAUAGAGGAUGGGGAAUCUGAAUUGCGGUAAUUGGGAAGUUUUGGUUCAGCGUUGAGGACUUACUUAGGAGGCAGUGCAUCUUUAAAAGCCAUUUUUCCAGACUUCAAGCUAGAGGACAAGCUUUUUAUCAGGGAUGGAGUAAUGUUAUUUUCUGAAUUAUUUUUUAUAGUAGAAUAAAACUUCCAUGAGUGAAUUAGGAUUCAAGUUUGUUAGGACUCUUGUUAAUUCAGUUCUAUAGGACUUGUUCUAUUUCUAGUUUGUUUAGGACUUUUGCUACUGUGAACCUUUGUUUAAGGGAGUUGACGUUAUCAAUAAAACAAGUUAGAUUUUAUCAAGUCACAGAAAUUCGGAGCUUUCUCAAACAGGUUCCCAGGUCUGUAGUUCCCUGAAUGAAUUGUAAAAUUUAGCAAUCAUAGGCAGGUCAAGGAACAAAACAAGGGAUUUGAUGAGAACAUUGGGCCUGACUUUCAAGUUAAUUGUCCAGCGACUUGAUCCAGAACUAGGGACCCUAACAGUCUCCUUAUAUGUCUUGGACAAUCCUCCCCUCAUGAUUUAGCUUUUGGGGUUGAGUUAGACCCAAGAUUCAUUUUUUUCAUUUCUUUAUCAGUCAUGAGCAAGUGAUGAAAACUGGAAAGCCUUACUCAAGUGUAGAACUAUUAUGCUUCGUUGUCUGCUAGAAAGCUGGAUUUACAAUUAAUUUGUGUGUUCUACUUGUCCAGCAAAAGAUAAAUUGGGUGCCAAGAGGUAAAUUUAACCACUGGGUAUCCUAAUUCCGAAUCAAUAGGUAGAUGACACAAAUUCAUCUGUUUUUAACAUUAACCGCUGGGAUAUCCUAAUUUCGUAUCAAUAGGUAGAUGACACAAAUUCAUCUGUUUUUAACAAAACCAAUGAAAAUAUCUACCUUCUGGAUCACUAAUGUUUGUAUGGUCUUCAAAACUCCAGUACUAUGAGAAAUAUAAAAAAAGAAUAUUAUUGAAUUGUUGCAUCUACAAAGAAUAUUAUUUGAAUUGUUGUAACUAUAUCAUUAUACUGAGACCUUAUUUAUAGAUACUAUAUUCCAAUCUUUUUUCAAGUAGGAUACUACAUUACAAUUCUUUUUCAAGUAGGAUUCUGUAUGUUAUUUCGUUUCUUAUUCUGGAUCACUAAUGUUUGUAUGGCCUUGGCUCAGCGGUAAGCUUGCUUACCGUGGUGUGCCAGGGUCGGGGGUUCGAAACGCCCCUCCAACGAAGCUGGGGUGAGGGCGCGUAGGUCAGGCCCGGAGUGGUCCCCCCUCCCCGACACCUACGGAGUAGGUAUGAACCGGGUCGUCCCUUAUUCAUAUUCUAGCACUUUUCUUCAAGUUGGUGCAUAGAGAUCAUAUGUACCGAGCUUGUUACGAAUGUAUGAAUACGAGGACCAGCAAGGGACUUGGCGAAAAUAUCUACAAGUUGAUCACUUGAUAUCACAAAUUUUGUAACAAUAUCUAUGAAAAGUAUCUUCUUUCCCACAAAGUGAAAAUCAAUCUCAAUGUGCUUAGUCCUCUCAUGAAAAACUAGAUUUGAUUCGAUAUGAAGAGCCGCUUGGUUAUGUCACACAAGUUAUGUUUGAUUGCUCUCUCAGAUUAAUCCAAACUAGCUCACAAGUGGCUACCACGAUUGCUCGAUAUUCUGCUUUUGCACUAGAUCAAGCAACCACACUCUGUUUCUUACUCUUUCAGGACACUAAAUUACCUUUUACUAAAGCAAAAUAUCCGGAUGUAGAAUGUCUUAUCCCAAGGCGAUCCUGCCCAAUCAACGUCUUUAUAUACAAUGAUUUUCUUAUGACCUCGAUCCCCGAAGAGUAGUCGCUUACCUGGAGCCAAUGUUAUCAAUGGCGAGUUGCCAAUGGUGAAUGGCGAGACGAAGCAACGUCGCUAUCUACCUUCAGGCGAUGCCACCUUCGAAAAGCGACGCCUUUUUUUUUAAAAAAAAAAUUAGGGCUUCAAGGAUAAAACGUAAUUUUAGGGCUUUUAUUUCCAUAUUUGUUUCAAAUGCUACCAUUGCGAGGCGAGAGUGGCGACUGCGAGUGCGACUUGCGACUGUGCAACUCGCAGCUCCGGCGGGCAGCGACUUGCGACUUCGACGACUGGUACGUAACUCUAUUUGUUUUCUUUUUCUACUUUCGUCUACUUUCUUCUGAUUUCUUCUUCAAAUCAUUUCACUUUUUCCUCUGAUUUAUUUUACUUCCUAGUUUUUUUCCACACAGACACUCACAGUAGACAUAAUACUUACUGUUUCUGAUUUCUUAUAACUUAUAUAGUAUAAUAACUAAUAUCAUAAUUGCUUGAUCAUUAACAACAAUUUCAAUGGCGUCUGCGUCUCAAUUUAAUAGUAACAAACAAAAGGGCAUUGGAUGGAAUUAUGGUUCGUAAGGACCAACAAAAGAUUUGGUGAUAUGUAAUUUUUGUUGACCGUUGAGUCUUGAGUCAUUCAAGUCCUAGACAUUAGUAUCUACGAUCUAUUUUUAGUUUCUUACUUGAAAUAUUUGUUAAUAAAUUAUUGCUAUUGCUAUUUUUACUAUUUAUAUAUGCAAUUAAUAUUUUAAUUUUUUGGUAUUAAUUGUCGCCGCACUUUCAUAUGGAGAUUUCCUUGCCGCUCGCUUCGCCGCGUGGCAAGGCAGAGCCUUGUUGCCUUUCGCUGUCCGAAACACUGCCUGGAGCUGACUUAAUAUAUCCCAUAAUGCGAGUAACGACAUCCUAAUGACUAUCACAUGGAGAAUCCAUAUGCUGACUUAAAACACUCACAUGAUAGGAAAUGUCAGGUCUGAUCACUGAGUGGCCCCUCUGUCCUGGUAGGAGCUUAGUAUUUGGAUUCAUAGGAGUGUCAAUGAGUUUACAUCCCAUCAUUCCUGUCUCCUUGAGAAUGUCUGAGGCAUACUUGUGUUGUAAAGUAAUAAUACCUGAUCUGGACUGAGCAACUUCAAUACCUAGAAAAUACUUCAGUCUGUCGAGGUCUUUAGUUUGGAAAUGCUGAAAGAGGUGUUACUUAAAAUGAAAUAUACCAUCUUGAUCAUUGUCGGUAAUAUACAAACCAACAAAUAAAUACAUAGAUUUAGAGUAAAAUGUCGAUAAAAUGCAGAGUGAUCUGCUUCACUACGAAUCAUUCCAAACUCUUGAACUACUGUGUUGAACUUUCCAAAUCAUGCCCGAGGAGACUAUUUUAGACCAUAAAGUGACCGACACAAUUGACGCACUAGACUAGACCCACAUUGAGCAACAAAAUUAGGUGGUUGCUUUAAUAAAGUUCCUCCUUAUUAGAAUAUGAAUAGGAAUAAUAAUAACAUAUAGAAUCCUACUUGUAAAAGGAUUGUAAUAUAGUGUUCUAUUUGAAAGGGAUUGGAAUAUAGUGUCUAUAAAUAGGGUCUCAAUGUAAUCAUACAAUUACAACAAUUUAAUAAUGUUCUUCUCUUAUAUUUCUCACAUGGUAUCAGAGCCUCUACGAUUUUGGUAGAGAAUCGAAGAGCUUCCGCUGUCGGCGGACGAAUAUAACCCAUAUAUGCUGCUGCCCGUCUGGCCAAUGAUUAUGUUAGCAAAAGUUGGCCACCGUGCUCCUUUCCAAUGGCUUCUCAUAUCUAAUUUGCAUAGCACUGUGCUUCUUUUCAGUGACUACUUUCAUAUAUCUAAUUUGCGUAGCACCAUGCAUCUUUGCGGUGAUUACUUUCUCAUAUCUAAUUUGGCAUAGCAGUGUGCAUUUCUUCGGUGACUACUUUUUCAUAUUUAUUUUGUAGCAUCGUGUAUCUUUUCGGUGACUGCUUUCUCAUAUUUGAUUUGUGUAGCAUCGUGCAUCUUUUCGAACUACUUUCUCAUAUCUGAGUUAUAAAGCAUUGUGCAUCUUUUCGGUGACUCAGAUCUAAUUUGCGUAGUUCCAGCGUCUUUCCAGUGACUCCUUAGAUCUGAUUUAUGUAGGGUCGUACCAUUAUUUCGUCCCUGACUAUAUAAUUCUCUUUUUCUGUUGGGUCGUGCCGUCAUUCCGACCCUGCCCAUACAAUUUUUCUUUUUUGGUAGGAUCUUGUCGUCAUUCUGAGCCUACCCAUAUAAUUUCUAUUUGUCAGCAGGGUUGUGUCAUCAUUUCGACCCUAUCUAUAUAACUUCUCUUUCUCAAUAGGGUCGUGCCAUCAUUUCGACCCUACCAUAUAAUUUUUUUCUCAAAUUGUGAUCACUUUUCAGUCAUCUAAUCUAAUAAUUUAGCACGAAUGCAUGUUUCAAUCAGUUUUUUCGAUGACUUGUCAAGAUCUACUCAUCUCUUGAUUUCAAGAUGACCCACAUAUUUUCUACUAGUGUCCUGGGGUGAAGUUAUGAACAAAACAUGUACUCCUAAAGACACGAAGGGAAAGAAAGUAUAGAGGUGAUUGUGGAAAUAAUAUUGAAUAAGGAAUUUGAUUUUGAAUGGAAGAUGAGGGCAUUCGAUUAAUGAAAUAGCAAGAUGAGAGAACUGCAUCACCUCAUAAACGUAGCGGAACAUGAGAUUAACUGAGAAGAGUGCGAGCAGUCUCGAUGAGGUGCCUAUUCUUCCUUUCUGCUACUACAUUCUAUUGAGGAGUAUACAUAUAAGUAUGAUGAAUAAUUUCUUGAUGAGUCAUAAAUUGUUUAAAAUGGGAGGACAUAUAUUCUAAGGCGUUAUCACUACGAAAGGUGCGAAUAGAGAUACCAAAUUGAUUUUAUAUUUCAGCACAAUAACUUAUGUAUAUAAAAACAUUUCAGAACGAUCUUUCAUUAAGAAAAUCAAAGUAAAUCUUAAAUAAUCAUCAAUCAGACCCCAUUAUGUGGGAAUACACUAGGUAUUUUGUUGUUGUUGAAGCUAACGAAAUUACAAAACCCUAAGGUUGAACUGACUCUACUAGAACCCCAAAUAUCAGAGUGAACUAAGGCAAAGAUAUACUCUGCACUACGUUGGAAGGUAGUUCGAGUGUGUUUCUCGAGUUGGCACAACUCACAAUCUAAUGUGGACAGACUAGACAAAUUAGGCAUCAUUUUCUGAAGUUUGAACAAACUAGAAUGUCCUAAACAAUUGUGAAUUACGUUUGGAGAAUCUGUAACUGGAUAUGUUUUGAAUGAGUUAGGAGAGGUAAGGUAGUAGAGGCCUUGUGAUUCAUAUCUUACAACAAUUGUUGCUCCCGAACUAUUUUCAUGUGAAUUACGUUCGGAGAAUCUAUAAUUGGAUAUGUUAUGGAAGAGUUAGGAGAGAUAAGGUAGUAGAGGCCUUGUGAUUCAUAUCUUACACCAAUUGGUUGUCCCGCACUGUGGUCAUGCAUGUCAAAAGAGUCCUCAAAAACUAGUAUGCCACAAUUUAAGGCACAAGUCAAAUGGCUGACCAAUGCAAGACUAAACGAACAACCAGGGAAAAAAAUAACAUAAUUUGAAGUGACGGAGGAUAAGGGAUUAGCUUGUCCAACUCCUUUUGCUCUGGUUUGAUUACCACUGGCUUAAGUGACAGCUGGAAGAGACUCUGAAUAAACAAUAUUUGACAGAAGUGAUUUAUUUACCAGAGUCCAAUUCAAAGGUAGGAGAUUGUGCAUUUGAGGCUGCUGGUAGUGAUAUCCGGUUACUUGCUCGGUAUUGAAGAUACUCAUUAUAUUCAUUUUCAGGUAAAUACACCGAUAGAUUACAUAUGGUGUUAGACUUAGCAACAUAAUCAUUUUUAGGUGGUCGACCAUGCAAAAAAUAACAUAUUUAACGUGUAUGUCCAAGCCUAUUACAAUAACUACACUUAGGUUGAGAAUAAUAUACGUCACGAGUGUGUCCAAGCCCUUACACUGACUAGAACUAGGUCGAGAUCUUCCAAAACGAACCCCUCGGGCUUAGUCGAUUCUUCAUGGAUUGUGACAUUUGAUUUUUUAAUCUCUUGACUAAGGGUUCAGACUUAAUCAUAGGACUAAAUGAAAAUCAGUGAUUAGCGAUUGCAGAAAUUGUACUGAACCGACGGAAAAAUCAGAAGGGGUCUGGCAAAUCUCGCCGGAAAACUGACAAAUGAGCCAGUAGUGGUGUUGGAUUUUGCUCAACACUGAUCGAAAUAGAUGAUGAUGCCAAUCAGUCCUGACAGCCGUCGGAAAUUGACGCACGGCUACCUGUUUAGCUGAGUUCCUCUCCAAUGUUCUGAUACCAUGUGAAAUGUUAGUGAAGAAUAUCAUUGAUUGUUGUAUCUUAUUAUUACACUGAGACCCUAUUUAUAGACGCUACAUUACAAUCCAUUUCCAAGUAGGGUUCUAAAUACUAUUCCUAUUCCUUUUCAUAUUCUAACAAGUACCAUAUCCCUCAUAAACAGGCCAAAGAAAGUGUCAGCCAGUAAUUAUUCAAUUCAAAAAUGAACGAUGUUGACAUGUGGAAGUCUUAAAUAGGAAACAAAAAUUCUUAAAUUAGCUUUUAUAAGAGAAUGCAAUCAAAAGAUAAAUGUCUUGAGAGCUAGAGCAGAAAAGUGGAACCUUGAUCUCCGCAGAAGCAAACCCUUUCUGCUCCUCCUGCCAUCUAACAGCUAUAGAUGCCUCCGGACCUAAUGAAGUUGUAUCUGAAAAUAAAAGUCUCAAGGAGGUCCGCAGGGCAUCAUAGUUCCUUACUCCUAACCUCCUACUUCCUCGGUUUAAUGGGAGCAAGUCCGGAAAAGAGAAUUUUACUAUAAUUAAACCAGGGAAAAGUUUUUUGUUUAGCAGUGGUUCAUUGUUGCUUCCAUCGAAGGAAUUUCUGAUGCUUUGAAGUGCACCACCUAGAGGUCUUACAUCUCAGGUAUCUGGUUGUCCCUCCAAUAUUUGAAGAUUAUGAAACUCUUUUUUGUCGAUUGCUCGUGAGCACAAGAAGUAAAUAUUAAAGGGAAGGGAAGGAGAACUUGCUGAAAUCCAUUGUCCAUUUUCCUUGUUUCCGUGUGAUGCAUAUGUUCAACAAUACUGGGAGGUUUUGUAGAUUCUUCAAGAGGAGAUGCGGCAGUUACAAGAGAUAAUGUAUUACUUUGUAGGGAUGUCAGAGAAACCUAAACGAAGUUCUGGUUUCAUAAUCACCUGGAUGGAUUUCUGACUUUAUUUACCUAUAUAACCGGUAUGUCUUGAUGUCAAUCUGAAAUACAUUUAUGUUAAAAUAAAUGAAGAGCCGUUAUUGAGUAACAAAUUGCUCCUCCAUAUCAUCACUAAAUUUUCAGUCAUUUGUGACCACAAAGAAUGUAACACUUCUGUGUAUCUCUAAAAUUACUGAUCAAAUUGCACUAGAGGUGGUAGACGCUUGGUUUAUCUCUCCUGAGAUGUACUGUCUCAACCAUCUUUUACUUAAUUGGUUUUUGGUUGCUUUCCAAAGGUUGCUGAGAUUGAUAUAUUUGCAUUCCAGAGAGUAUGGAUGAUGUAUCUAUUAUCAUGAUGGCAUCAAGCAUCUGUUCACUUAUACUUGAGUUGACAUCAGAGGAAGCUCUUCUAAAUCAUCCAGACUUCAUUAGUGGUAAUAUUAGUAGUCUGUCGAAGCUCAUUGAACGAAGCUUUGGGAUGUGUGGUCAGGUAAUUCACUUGCUUAUGCUUCAACCAUUCUGUUAUUGCCUAAAUUGAUUGUACAUCAUUAGCUUUUUCCAUAUUUUGGGAUUACUCAAAAUCUCGGCAUCCUAUCUUCCUCACCUACCCUCCAUUCAAAAUGGACUUUGAGAAAAUAAACAUGCCAAGGAAAUGAUAUGUUAACUGUGUUUUCUGAUACUCCAGUUGACAACUUACUGUUCUGGCUGAAUUCAGGACUUGAUAUCUGAUGAUGCUAAAGCUGAAGUAGAUCUUUUUCAGAUAAUUACCUCAGGUUUGUAGUUCUCUUAUAUCAUGAAUAUUUGGCUUCAUUUGAUUUACUUCAUCAAGGUCUUUAUGUUAAUCAUUCAAAUCUCUGUCAUUAAGUAGGAUUGUUGUUUGGGUCUAAAUUUUUCUACAAAGAUAUCAGUUCACCACUACUCCAUCCACUUUCACAGUUAAUGCGGUUGUCACAGCUCGCCACUAUCAACUAUCACCACCAUCAACCAACCAUCCUCAAUUCCUCAUCCAUAACCAGGGGAGGGCUUACAUGGAGGAGCACGGUUUCACGUGAACCCAUCUACCCCUCGCUAGUAUAGGUACCCCUCCCUAGUAUACGUAUGACUAUCUUUUUUUCUACUAAAUUAGUUAAAAUGUGUACAAGGGAACCCAGGCAAAAGAGUGCACCUUGGCCUGUUGGUGACAGUGUGCACCAUUGCAUAUCAGGUCUAGGGAUAGAAUCCUUCUGGCCAUACUGUUUUUUUAAGUUCGUUUCGCCUGGCUCUUUUUUCUUUCCUUUUCUUUCUUUUCUCUUUUUGUCAUUUCUUUCUUUGCUUUUUUUUUUUUCUCUUCCUUUUUGUUUUCCGGUUUGCUGAUCUUUCUUAUGUUUCUUUUUUGUCGUUUCUUUAUUUUCUUUUUUGUAAGUUCCCUUUUCGACAUCAUUAUUCAAAAAAAAUUUGAUAGUUAAAAAUAACUUUUGAUCAUCUUAGGAAAAAAGAUGAAAAUGAAAAAUCAGAAGAAAAAUAAAAAGACCGUUUUAUUCAAAACCCAAUUAUUUCUUUCUUCGCAUUUCAGAAGUCGCUAAAAGAAUAAAAAAUAAUAUCUUCUCUGGACUUCUAUCUCCGCAUGUGUUUUUAGCAACAAUUUUACGAAUAAUGAUCACACUUCCGUAGUUUCUUAUCGUUUCUUUUUUGAUAUCUUUUCCUUCACUAUUUUUUCUUAAUUUGUGAAGUGAAUUUUUUGGAUAAUAAUGCUAUUAAUGAUCGCUUUUACAAUAUGAAAACUUGUUAAAACCAAUUAUAAGUUGAAUGACGUUUUUUUGGUGAUAAUAGCUUUAAUUAUAGUUUGCUCAUCUAGUUGUUGUCAUGACAAUUUUUUUGAAGUAGAUAUAUAUAUAUAUAUAUAGAGAGAGAGAGAGUAACAUUUUUUGUAUAAUUAUUUGAUGCAUAAAAACUGCAGUAAUUCAUACUUACAACGGAAUAUAGGAAGAUAUACUAAGCUAUAACCUACUUACAAAGAUCCUAGAACAUCAACAAAAGAUUCUACUUCUACAUAUUCAUGUUUACACCAAAAUAGAAAAGGGUCAAACACGUCAUCUUCAGUUUCUGGGUAGAGCUAUAAUUGUCUUUAGAACACCUUUGAUUUCUCUCUUUCCCAACUGUCCACCAAAUACAAGCAGGGACAAUCUUCUAUCUUUCUUUAUGUUCUGGGUGAGUGCUAUAUUUGUUCCGGUACUCCAACACUUCUAGUGUAUCUCUUGGCAUGGCCCGCAUGAUUCCUUUUAGAUUAAGGAAAAUCCUCCAAAGCUGUAAAGUUAACUUGUAGUGUCAAAAAAGAUAGGUUGAUUGUCUCUGAUUCUUCUCCGCACAUAUAACAUCUAGAGCUUAGGUGGAAGUCCCUUUUUCUUAAGUCCUUCAUGAGGUAGAACCGCUUUCCUAGCCACGAGCCAAGAGAAACAAACCACUUUGUGAGGAAUUUUAACUUUCCAAAUUAGUUUCCACGACCAACAACUAAUCUGGUUGUUAGAAUGAUUAAAUUCCUUGUAAGCUGACCUGACUAAAACUGAUACUGUCAUGAGUCAUGACAAUUUUGUGGCAUCGAUGAUAGUUAAGUGCAGCCAUCCUCUAAAGUUACUUAGGUAUACCUCUGUCUACAACCACUACCAUGGCCAAUCACUAUAGUCAAUUGCCACCACCAUUAGCUACUAUUUACAAUCAUCACCAUUACCACAGCAUCCAUAUAUCACUACCAUUAAUUAGCACUAUUUAUUUCCAAACACCUUCGUCAUUAGCUAUUACUAUUAUCCACCACAAUUAUCAGAUGCCAUCAAUAACUACCACCAUCAAUCACUAUCGUUAACCACUACUGCUAGCCAUCAUCACCGCUAGCUACAGCCCACGGCCACCACCAUCCUCAAUCGACACCCACAACCAUCUCCAUUGGUCAUCACCAUCAUCAACCGCCAUAUAGGAUAACUAUUUUAUUUUUUGGUUUAUAUAUCUACUAUUAGAUUAGUUUAGCAUUUUAUUAAAUUUUAUAUUUUAUUAAUUCUAAAAUAAAGUCAAGUUCUAUAUACUCAAAUGUUGAAAAAAUAGUCUUAAUUAUUUAAUAUUUAGAUCUUAAUUCAUCUUAAUAAUUAGAGGUGUAUUUAGACUGAGACAUCUGAAUCUUACCACAUAUUAGUAUUCAGAUGUCUUAUAAUUUUAGUAGAAACGAAUAAUGUUUUUAUGUUUAUGUUCUUUCCUCCUAGGUUUGAAAAAAAUUUGAGAGGCAGUAACUUAUUCUACUUGUGUUGUCUGAAAUUGGUGUAGCAUAUUCAUCAUGGGCUGAUCGGUUUCCUCGCAUUAGACAAGCUAUCGAGAGCUCAGGGUCUUUUCGAUUUCGACAUGUUUCAUAGGACUGUUGUUCAUUUGAUGAGGUAUGUGUGACUUUCUUGGAAUUUGUGGUACUUAUCAAUUGAGUUAUAGUACAACUUUGAUGAAGGGUAAUGUCUUUCCUGCAAUCACUCUCGAGAUUUCAUUCCUGCAUUUUGUACUUCCAAGUGCUCCACGAAUCUGCAGAACAGUUAACUAUAUCUGUUAACGGAGUGAGUUUUUCACUGGCCAACUUUGCAGUUCAUAGACAUUAGUGUUUCCAUAUAUUGCCUACUGAGUGUAUCUCCGAAGGUGGGGGGUGGGGAUAUAAUAGUUGCACAUUUUGGACGGAGUGAUGAACAGUGAAUCCAACCUUUUCCUAACAGCUAUAUGGAUCCGAGCUUGCAGGAUGACAGUUUUUUUUGUUGUUCCAACUCUUUGCAUGUGUUAGGCACUUUAAUGGCUUUGCUUUCAUCGUACCAUUUUUCCUCGAGGAAGACGGUUGUUGGACUUGGCUGAUUUAUUGGGCAAAGAAAUGAUAUGGCUCAAGCGGUUCCUUCAAAAACUUGGAUUGCACUAAAUGGAGUACAUUGUCUAUUGUGACAGUCAAAGUGCAAUAGACUUGAGUAAGUGCAAUAGACUUGAGUAAGAAUUUCAUGUACCAUGAAAGAACAAAACACAUUGAUGUGAGGUACCAUUGGAUUUGUGAACAAGUGGAGAACGAAUCAUUCCAUGUUAAGAAGAUUCAUACGAGUGAAAAUCCUGUGGAUAUGAUGACGAAGGUGGUACCAAAAGACAAGUUCGAACUGUGUUAAGAACUUGUAUGCAUGAGAUCUCGCUAAGAAGACGGAGAUACCUCCUUCAGAUGCAUGAGACUGGAGGAGGAGAUUUGUGGGGUCCAGUCCCAUCACUCAUAAUGCACGAAAUUUCUUAGUCCCAAAUUGUUGCAUUCCUUUUUCAAACUUGUAUUUAUUGGAUAGAGAAAUGUCAAGAAGAGAUUUGAUUUUCAAUAGCAUUUUUAGGUCACCGAAGACCUCAACAUAGACAGUUUUUGGCCUAUAAAAGGAGCUCCUCAGCUCAUUUGUUAAACAAACCAAAUAGAGAGAAAAACAACAUAUAGAGAGCCGUGAGGUAUUCCGCAGACUGUGAUAAAAAAUAGUAUGUGAAGGAAAAAUUAGAGAGAGCGAUAUUUUAGUAAGGUGGGGAGUCAACAGAGUUAUUUCUUUAGAUGUAUAGUAGCCAUUUUGAAUGUUGUACUUGUGACUACGGUGAAAAAAUUCUUACUAUAGUAAUAUCAGUUGCUCCUCUUGGUCCGUGGUUUUUCCCUUAUUUAAAGGGGUUUUCACGUAAAAUUCUUGGUGUCAUUAUUUUCAUUUGUUUUCUUAUUGUUUUGCCACAAAUACUUUUGUAGUUAUUCCGCGUUUACCCAACACUAACUCAUAACUUUAUUGCAGGCAAGUGCGUUAUGGAGCAUAUGAAUGUUGAUGAGGUCACUUGUCAUUUUAAUUGCUAUCUUCGCUUUUACUUAUUAGUGUUUUUCUAGUAUAUUGUUAAUCCUUAUGAAUAUUGCAUUGACUGAACUUGUUGAGGAUGUUCAGCUCUAAGUCUUUAACAUGGCAUAUGAGGAGGUUUCUUUGUUUUGUCAGAAGUAAACUGAUUUAUGCAAAUGAGAAGAAGCAAUCUCUCUUUCUGAUUGGUUCUUGUUUUAUGUCCCCUACUCAAUACUAAAACAAGAUGGAUGUAUUGAAUCUCUUCAAAAAUAAGAUAUAUCUUGUUUUAAACUAGUAUGCUGGCAUUGCACCGGUCAUUUAAUGAUUAAAUUUCAAUGCUUAGCAUGUCAUGUCUAUCACUAUUAUGGUCUACACUCGUGACUGAUGAAUUAUUGCACGAAGAAGAUGAAGAGAAUUGGGAAGCUGCUGUUGACAAAGUCAUAUCUUUCCGGUUUUGCCUUUCAAAAGGGAAUGAUAUAUUCCUACUAUGGACACAAGUGUUUGGUUUCUCCCAUUUCUCUACUAGGCAGUUUUUAUGGUAAGGUUGUCUCGAGAUAUUCAUGUCUGACAUUGACAAGCUUCCAUUUAAAAAAAAAACACUGAAGCAUCACUUCAGUUGCUACCGUGGCCUUUCUCUUCCCUCUCAAUGUGUUUCUUAGCAAUGCAAUGUGCUUUGUAUGUGUCAGAGUGUCCUUUAUCCACUUCCCAGGAUUUUUCGGUCUUCAGUUGAUUUUGACUGCGGAAAGUAUUUUCUCUAAAACCACAAGGCAGUCACCAGAAAUUGCACGUUAGUUCCUGUAUCUUUUAGGACCCGUUUGGUAGGAUGGACUAUUUUUAUAAUCCACGGAUUAAAUGGUGGGAUUAGUUAAUACAAUGUUUGGUAGCAAUUUUGAAGCUAUGUAUAAUACAUGGAUUAGUUACACCCUACAUGGUAUUAUAGGGUGUAUAACUAAUACACCCAAUUUGGGGGAUUAGUAAUCCAUGGAUUACAAUCCAUGAAUAAAUGUGUUAAGACAAAAAUGUCCUCAAAUUUCUUUAAUUUUUUUUAAAAAUCUUUUCAAUUUAUUCAAUUUGAAUUAUUUCUUUUCAAUUUAUCAAGAUAAUAAUAUCCCUUCAAAUAAUUUUAGUCAUAAAAAAACUACUCCAUUAACGUAAAAAAUACUUAUUGGUCAAAAUUCGAAAAUAAAUUGCAUACAAGCUUUAAUUUUGUAAAUAAGAUAUUUAUAAAUAAAAAGAAUUUUUCUACUUAGCUUUAACACUCCACGGAACACAAAUUUAUGUUAAUAAUAGUUCUAUUAUUUUAUUCAAAAUUUAUACGUAUUUCUCUCCAACGUAGGAACAUCAAAAAGUGAAAACAACAAAAAAAUGAUGAACAAAUAAAGAAAAGAUAAUUUUUUUUUUUAUGAAGUGAAUGAAUCUAAAAAUUUCAAAGUAAAUAAUUACUUAUAUUUUUACUUUUUUUUUUAUUUUAAAAAAAGUGAUAAAGUUUUGCAAAGAAAAUACAUAAAGUUAUUUUAUGUCAAAGGAUAUUUUUGUAAACAAAUAAUAUUCUUUUAAAAAUAUAACAAUACAUAUUAUUUUUAAUACAUCAAACCAAACAUUGCAUAAAAAAUAAUCCCAGUAUUACUAAUUCCCGUAUUACUAAUCCCUGCAUUACUAAUGCAACCUAUUCAGUAUUAUCUUAUACACUCUACCAAACGACCCUUUAGUGGUUUAUAUGGGCUAAGGAAGAGAUGGACAACAACGACAGGCCACCAACUAUGUGUUUUAAGGACAAGCAGGAGACUAAUGUAUCAGACCUCAAGGUGCGCUUGACAGAGUUGUACCUGACGUGAAAUAUCUGGCUGGCACUAUCCAAUGGCACAUGACCAUUGGUCGUGCUACUUUGUGGCUUCGCAGUACUAUCGGCCAAAGGCCAGCCGGUAUAUUGAAUCAGACAUUCCUUCCCCAUUGUAAAGAGUCAUUUGCUCUCACUUCUCUCCGCUAUUAGGCAAUUAAAAUCUUUCUAGCUUUGCCUCCAAGUUUUCUCUGUUUUUAGCCAUCUUUGCUUUACUUCGUCUGCCUAGUCUAGCUUUUUUGAUUGAGCCCAACUCGUGGCCCAAAAAUCUCGAUUGUACGCUCCGUAUUAUCUUUGAGAUUUGUCUUCUACCUCUUAUUCGUUGCUUAACAGAGAUAUACGAGGAUACUUGUAAUUAUAUCAUAGUUAUUUGCUUAUACAACUGUAAUUAGUUAUUGUAUCACUUUAGGAUUAUAAUUAGUUGUUGUAUUGCUUUAGGAUUCAGUGUUGUAUUAGCG